rnacentral:rRNA from 1 species
AUUGAACGCUGGCGGCAGGCCUAACACAUGCAAGUCGAACGGUAACAGGAAGCAGCUUGCUGCUUUGCUGACGAGUGGCGGACGGGUGAGUAAUGUCUGGGAAACUGCCUGAUGGAGGGGGAUAACUACUGGAAACGGUAGCUAAUACCGCAUACCGUCGCAAGACCAAAGAGGGGGACUUUCGGGCCCUUGCCCUUCGGAUGUGCCAGAUGGGAUUAGCUAGUAGGUGGGGUAACGGCUCACCUAGGCGACGAUCCCUAGCUGGUCUGAGAGGAUGACCAGCCACACUGGAACUGAGACACGGUCCAGACUCCUACGGGAGGCAGCAGUGGGGAAUAUUGCACAAUGGGCGCAAGCCUGAUGCAGCCAUGCCGCGUGUAUGAAGAAGGCCUUCGGGUUGUAAAGUACUUUCAGCGGGGAGGAAGGGAGUAAAGUUAAUACCUUUGCUCAUUGACGUUACCCGCAGAAGAAGCACCGGCUAACUCCGUG